CCUACGGGGGGCAGCAGUGAGGAAUAUUGGUCAAUGGACGAGAGCCUGAACCAGCCAAGUAGCGUGAAGGAUGACUGCCCUAUGGGUUGUAAACUUCUUUUAUAUGGGAAUAAAAUGUUCCACGUGUGGGAUUUUGUAUGUACCAUAUGAAUAAGGAUCGGCUAACUCCGUGCCAGCAGCCGCGGUAAUACGGAGGAUUCGAGCGUUAUCCGGAUUUAUUGGGUUUAAAGGGAGCGUAGGUGGAUUGUUAAGUCAGUUGUGAAAGUUUGCGGCUCAACCGUAAAAUUGCAGUUGAAACUGGCAGUCUUGAGUACAGUAGAGGUAGGCGGAAUUCGUGGUGUAGCGGUGAAAUGCUUAGAUAUCACGAAGAACUCCGAUUGCGAAGGCAGCUCACUGGACUGCAACUGACACUGAGGCUCGAAAGUGUGGGUAUCAAACAGGAUUAGAUACCCUGGUAGUC
rnacentral:rRNA from 1 species